GCAAUCGGAUCGGUGGGCUGUGGGUGAGAGCCAUCAAGGAACCCAAACAGGCCUUGACCCUUUAAGAAGGGAGUAAUUUGCUUUCUCCAGAUCAAAAAAUUGGAUGCAUUUAAUUUGAUAGAUAGAAAAUGCUGUGCCGAUGGAAAGAUGAGAGGGGUCGUUGUGUUGGGUGGAGGAGGAGAAGAGGGAUUGGAGGAGGUGGAGAUAGAUGAACUGGUGGCCAUGAGAGAGCACAGAAGGAGGAAGAAGAAGAGAUGCUCGUUGGAGCUUCAAUGCUCUGAUA
rnacentral:lncRNA from 1 species